rnacentral:rRNA from 1 species
AGUGAACGCUGGCGGUAGGCCUAACACAUGCAAGUCGAACGGCAGCACAGGAGAGCUUGCUCUCUGGGUGGCGAGUGGCGGACGGGUGAGGAAUACAUCGGAAUCUGCUUUUUCGUGGGGGAUAACGUAGGGAAACCUACGCUAAUACCGCAUACGACCUACGGGUGAAAGCAGGGGACCUUCGGGCCUUGCGCGAUUGAAUGAGCCGAUGUCGGAUUAGCUAGUUGGCGGGGUAAAGGCCCACCAAGGCGACGAUCCGUAGCUGGUCUGAGAGGAUGAUCAGCCACACUGGAACUGAGACACGGUCCAGACUCCUACGGGAGGCAGCAGUGGGGAAUAUUGGACAAUGGGCGCAAGCCUGAUCCAGCCAUACCGCGUGGGUGAAGAAGGCCUUCGGGUUGUAAAGCCCUUUUGUUGGGAAAGAAAUCCAGCUGGCUAAUACCCGGUUGGGAUGACGGUACCCAAAGAAUAAGCACCGGCUAACUUCGUGCCAGCCGCCGCGGUAA